ensembl:lncRNA
GAAAACGUGCUAGCUUAUUAAGCACUCUUUCCCUCCCUCCCCUUCUUCUUUCCUCAGUAGUCAUGCUCCAAUAACUUUAGAUUAAGUAGAUUUGUAAAAGUAACUUUAUGCCCCACAGAGCAAAGCCCACAUGUAUUUGCCACUUGUAAAGAGAGUCUAGCAGGAAACAGAGCUGUCUGAGGUAUCGCAACCAGCAAUGGAGCAGGUCAACAGGCAGCUGUAAACGGGGCCCAGAGGUAAGAACAAUGUGCCUUUUGUUACUUUUCAGCUUAUUAUUUGUAUUCCUAUUUCUAUGCCAAUAAUUCAAUGAUAUAAUGCUGGCAGAUUACAAACCAGCCUGUGUAAUUCUCUCAUGUAGAUAGUAAAUUUUUUAAAUGACACAAGUUGAACCAAUUUGCCAAGCUUUAACCUUACAUUUAAGCUUUUAAUAAGCUGCAAAAAAAUUUAAGUUCUUUUUGAUCUGAAAGUUAUUUUACCUGAAAAAUGAAGUAUUAUCUUCCUUAUUUGUAGGUAACCCUUCACACAGCUAACUCUUGUACAACUGUUUGUACUAUUAAUACAAUUGAAUGUUUUUUUUCUUCCACAAGUUGAUUUCUGACAUUCAUAAAUCCUCUCACGGCUCUCUUAUUCUUCUUAUGCUUUAUUUAUUGAACAUUUUUCCUUUAAAAAUUCUAUUUUUUACACACCAUAAAUAUAAUGUUAUUGAACAUGUAGCAUUUAGGAUUAUUGUUUCAUUUCAUUUCAUUACAUUAUGGUACUUUAAUUUUUAAAAACUGAUUUGCAAUGUAAUGUGCAUGAUCUUAAAAUCUAAAUAAGAAAAUCUAACUUUCCUAAUAAGAGUAGACUGCAUUUAAAAGACUUAAUAGAGCAAAAAAAAAGAAAGAAAGAAAGAAAAUAAAGAUAAUUCAUAUUAGCAAUUACAAAUCAAACUACUCUGGUUUCAUGAGUCAAGUUCUAAAAUGCCACAAGUCCUAUAAAAUACUCUCUUCUAAUUUGUGCAAGUCUGAGAAGCUGCUUGUGCACAUUAACAAUAUUUAACUGUGUAUUCAAGUAUAGAAACUUAACAGUCUUUCUUGUAGCAUCCUUUGGUUUCUUUAAGUUUUCUAAAAUUACAUUGAAGAUAACAAAUAGAAUUUUAGAACAAACAAUGGCGCUGAAAAGCACCGUUCAGUUACACAUGUGGGUUUUGCAUAGUUUGCCAGUGAAAAAUCAGAAAACUUAACUUACGAAGAUGACAUACAUCACAUAUUCACUGUUUGAGAUUUGCUAAAGGAAACAUCCAGACUCGCAUAUCUGAGCACAUUUAAUUUUACUCUUAAAGGAGAUAGUCAUGGCCUCCAGAAAAGGGAAUCGACAACCUCUCAUUUCUGCAGGAGCUUUUGUUCACAGUGCUAAACGGCAGUGAUAUCUUGCGUGUGCUGUACAGUUCCUGAGACCUACUGACCGUUUAAACCAUCACCACACACUGGUCCUUGACCAUAGUCAUUGUCCUCUUAUAAUGGUUCAGGAAAGCAAAUAUUUAGUGUUAUAAAUUCAGAAAAGUAGGGGUUGAGGAUUUAGCUCAGUGGUAGAGCGCUUGCCUAGGAAGCGCAAGGCCCUGGGUUCGGUCCCCAGUUCCGAAAAAAGAAAAAGAACCAAAAAAAAAAAAAAAUGAAAAAAAAAAGAAAAAAAAUUCAGAAAAGUAGUUGAUAAUGAGAGUUAGACCAUCUAAUUAGAGUGUAGAAUAUGUUGUUAGUGAGUCCGAUAACAUGUUACCUUUAAGUAUUGCAUAUUAACUCAACAAUACUUCUAUCUGAACUUGGUUAUGUUAAUUCAACAAUUGUAUUUCUAAAGUCUAUCAAUAACCACAUUUUUGAAUAUCUAUACUUUUAAUCAUGAGACCUUUUGGUAUUAUUAACUACUGAUUAUUGGGAGUGUGCUAUAUAUUACAUAGCAUCACAGUUCAUAUUGAAUAAGAACCAUGAAAAAAUUAUAGAGUAAGUUGAUCACCCCUUUAACUCAGGGCAGUAAAAGAAGGCCAAGGUUGUAGAGAACAUGCUGUCUUCUUGGCAGGGCAGAUUGGUUGUUGAUGUGAAUUAUUAUGUCUGAUUUAGUAGCUUGCUUCUAGAUUGUGGAAAAUAAGUUUAGAAUUUCUUCUUUGAAAACAAUCUAUUUACGGACAGGAAAUAUGAGCGCUUGACCGGUUGUUUCCAGGAGACAUGUGAACGUUGAAGGGACAUUUGCUCAAUAUUAGCGUUGUGUUUCUUCCUUCAGAAACUCAUUUAAGCAGAGCACUUAGAGUCAGCACAUGAAUCAGAAAUGUUUGAAGUUGAGUUGCAAAGAAGGCUGCAAGUUAUAUAUGUCCGGAAAACAAAUUUUGAAUUUUGAUACAUAAAUGUUUCACAAGAUUACAUUUCUUGACAUAAUUAUAAGAAUGACUGUUGAAACUGCAUGUCUGCUUUAUUACCAAAUUUUAACAAGCCCCAGACGUUAAGAACACAUGGGAGAUAGGUCAAGGACAUGUGAGAUGAUUGGAAGCCUCCUAGAUACUAAGCUCAGAACAAGUGGGUGUCUCUCUCUCACUCUGGCCAUCCCCAAAUUGUCCACUAUGAAAGAGAGUGACCUGCUUGUCAUGAGUGUUAUCCCUCCUAACCAGUAGCCAAGUGCACUUUUAAAAAAUGAUUUUUCUUGGAAAUACUGAUACUAAUUUUGUAUGUAUAUAUCUAGUUCUAAAAGAAUACCGCACAUUAUGUCUUUCUUUCUUUCUUUCUCUCUUUCUUUCUUUCUUUCUUUCUUUCUUAUUUUUUUCUUUUCUUUUUUCUAUUUUGUUUAUCCUUCAUUCAGGCAUUUUCCCAUGUUCAAUAAGAAGAAAUUUAGUUGUCUGGUAGAAUAUGAAAUGUAUCCAAACUAUGAAAAUCUUCUGCUUUUAGAAUAGUUGGAUCUUCUAGCUUUUCAAAGUCAAAUGUAUGUCCUAUACCUUGGAUAUUCUCGGCUCUUAUUAGUGUAACUCAAAAGUAAGUACCAAUUGUAGCAUAUUUAAAAUAUAUAUGGUCCUGAACAUUUGGGGAAAUAAUUAUAUGUAUAAAAAUGUAGAGUGCAAGUAAGUGCAAAGAAAGAAUGUGCAUGUCAAUUUAUGAAAUUAUUUGUGUAAAUAUAAAGAUAUAAGCAAGCCUAUUCUGCUAUGGAAUGUGUCUCUUUCCAACGUUAAUGACGUACAGCUUCCAUUUAUACAUCUGAGCUGUAGGGAAACAACUAAACGCAUUAUUUCCUGGCUUUCACAUAUUUAAACUAUAAAUUUUGGGGGGAUGACUGUUAUAUUUUCUUCACUAGCCUGACAUUAAUGCUGUUGAGUUUUUGUUUACUUGUGUUAUUGGUUUGCUUGUUUGUUCGCAUUUAGUAUUUUGCAUGAACUAAAACCUGGGCCCUUAGAUUCGAUGCUGUCUGUAUUCCUUUCACUUUUGUUUCCAUCAUUGUAAGCAUGACUGAAAACAGUUUUACUUUUUUAUUUUAUAUAUUUUUACUUUUAAUGUUAUUGCAAAAACUACCUUUUAUUCUUAAAUCCUAUUUUAAGAAGGAAUGGCAUUAUAGUUGAAUACUUAAUUUCAGAAUUGCAAAAAGUGACUGAGAAUGAAGUUGGCCAUUGUGUGGGUACCUGGACUGGAACUGGUUUCUUUCCUUACUGAUAUUUCACUUACAGAUUGUUCAUUGGGAGCCUUUACUUGUGUUCUACUCUGUUCUUAGCACAUCCUCAAAUUCUUUGUACCCUGGAAAGAAGUGCUGUCAUGUGGUCCACGAAAGCAUCAUUACGGCUUGUUCUGAUUCCGAAUAAAUAGUGUAAAAUUUCAUCAGACAUCUUUUUCAUUCAAUUUGCCUUUGCACAGGAAAAUAAUUUUAAGCAAGUUAUUCAUCCUCUCCUUUCAUGGCAGACAUAUCCGAGUGAGAAAAGCAACAAAAGCACUCUCCGUGAUAACGCUGCCAAGUAAAGAAAAUUUAUCUCUUUCUCAGACUCACACGCAACUUUAACUAAUUUUCCAAGUUAUAAUUUGAGUGUAGUGAUUCACACCUGCACCCCCAGCAAGAAGGAGGCUGAAACAAAAUAAUUCGAUUUUGUUUUGUUUUGAGGGUGGCCAGGCUAUGUCAUGAGUUCAGGGCCAUAUUUGGAUUCAGAGUGAUGCCUUUCCUUGAAAACUGAUAAAAUAAAAAAUAAUUCCAAACUCCACAGUGUCAUGAAAUACUUUAAAAGGCAUCUGUGUAUCUUACUCGGUUUCAUAGCCGAUCCCCCAUCUUUCUUUCUCUCUGUAGUCAUUCAUUAUGCUUUGAUCUUUAGAGCACAAGACUCUUCCCUUCCAUGUGCAAUCGUACAUACACCAGCAGAUAGAAACAGCGCUCCAUUCCACACGUCUUUACUGACAGUCCGUUUUCAUGGAAUCUCCGUCCCUAUUUCACUUUUGCUGUUCAAUAAUAUCCUUUAUAAUGUUAUCCCUCCAGUAACCAAUUCAAUCUAGAGUUGAUAAUCACAUUUAGUUGGUAUUUCUCUUUUUUAUUUUUAAUUGACAAAUAAAAUCGUAUAUAUUCAUUCUGCACAACAUAUUGUUUUGAAUUGCGUGCGAACUUUAAUGGGUAAUUGGAGAUAAUUAGCAUAUGUAUUUCUCCACAUAUUUACUUUAUUUUACUGUUGAAACACUCAAGAACUAUUUCGUUGGCAGUUUUCACAGAUACUACACGUUGUAACUGACAGUCACCGUGCCGAGUGCUUUGCCUUCCCACUCUUUAGGUUGGAAUAUUCUCAUGCCUUUAUCUUUGGCAAAACGGAAGGAAUUAAAGUGUAUAAUCUUUUCACCAACACCUUUUCUACACAUUUUAAAUUUUUCAUAAAAUAAAGUUAGCUGAUGUAUAAAAUUUGCAUAUAGUAUGUGUUGAUACAGAAUAAAUUGUAAAAUUUUCAAACAGGGUAUAUAUAUAUAUUUCAAAUACUUAUUAAUCCCUGGGGGAAAGUAUCUCUUCUGAUAGCUUUUUAAGAAAUGGACAUAACUGUUACCUGUAACAUGCUUAAUUUUGCUAGCAUGUUUCUGUUUGCUGUCACUUUGGCUCGCCUCCUGUUUGGGGUAGUCAGACAUUUUCUGGGGCAGUCUUGCAGGGGUGUUGCUUCCUCCGGUGCUACCAUGUGGAAAGGCUCUUACACUCACUUGUCUUGCACCAGCAAUGUCAGUUUUAUUGCCUUUUUGAGGUAUUGCCUGCAAUUUCCCACUAUAUAACGACAACUUCCCAAACAAAAACUUUAUCUUGGACAUAAUACUGAUACUCUUGUCUAAUGUAAUCUUUAUUGGGAAGUUUAACAAGCGCUUACCUUGCAUAAACAGCAACUGUGGUACUUUCUUCAUGCUCGCAUGUUGUUUCCAAGCUACUACAGACCAAAGAUCUUUUCUUCCACACUGGUUUAUUUAUGUCUUGAUCUAUGCUCCUGGGCUCAGGGAGCAAGCAGCUUUUUUCGUGACUUGUAAUUGUUUAUUACCUUGAUGAUUUACUGUCAGAUUAUACCCAUUUGGCCAUCAGAGCUCAUUUAUUCUGUUUUUCUAUGUCCUUAUGUUAUUCAAAAACCAUAUUACUGAUCUUUAUAUUACAUUUGGCAUGAAAAAGAUAUACUAAGCUGUCACAACAUCCAUUCAGUUCAAGAAUCUUUUGCCCUGUCUUUUGUUGGUGGAACUAAAAAUAUGAUCCCUGCCACUCAGAUAAUUUGCUUCAUGACCCCAGAAUACAGUAACGUAUAUGCACAUGCACCAACACAAACACAUAGCUAUAUAUGCUUAUACCAACAUACAUUUGUGAAAGUAUUUAUAUCAAUGCGUAUAUUUCUAUAUUUUCUGGGUAUUCUUAACUCAUUCUGAUUUUCUCUAGGUGAAACCAUCUUCAUAGGCAUUUUUUU